rnacentral:rRNA from 1 species
AAUGAACGUUGGCGGCGUGGAUUAGGCAUGCAAGUCGAGCGAGAAGUCAUCUAUUGAAGCUUCGGCUGAUUUAGAUGAUGGACAGCGGCGUAAGGGAGAGUAACGCGUAGAUACCUACCCUCAGGACUGGGAUAGCGGCGGGAAACUGCCGGUAAUACCAGAUAAUGUCCCCGGACCAAAGGUGAGAUUCCGCCGGGGGAUGGGUCUGCGUCCUACUAGCUUGUUGGUGAGGUAACGGCUUACCAAGGCAAAGAUGGGUAGCGGGUGUGAGAGCAUGGCCCGCCUCACUGGGACUGAGACACUGCCCAGACACCUACGGGUGGCUGCAGUCGAGAAUCUUCGGCAAUGGACGCAAGUCUGACCGAGCGACGCCGCGUGCGGGAUGAAGGCCUUCGGGUUGUAAACCGCUGUCAGAAGGGCGGAAAUCCUUAAGGGUUAUCCCUUAUGGUUGACCUAUCUUCAGAGGAAGCACGGGCUAAGUUCGUG